AGAGUUGAUCAUGGCUCAGAACGAACGCUGGCGGCAGGCUUAACACAUGCAAGUCGAACGCACCGCAAGGUGAGUGGCAGACGGGUGAGUAACGCGUGGGAACCUUCCCUUUGGUACGGAAUAACUUCGGGAAACCGAAGCUAAUACCGUAUAAGUCCUUCGGGAGAAAGAUUUAUCGCCAAAGGAUGGGCCCGCGUUGGAUUAGCUAGUUGGUAGGGUAAAGGCCUACCAAGGCGACGAUCCAUAGCUGGUCUGAGAGGAUGAUCAGCCACACUGGGACUGAGACACGGCCCAGACUCCUACGGGAGGCAGCAGUGGGGAAUAUUGGACAAUGGGGGCAACCCUGAAUCCAGCCAUGCCGCGUGAGUGAAGAAGGCCUUAGGGUUGUAAAGCUCUUUUGGCGGGGACGAUAAUGACGGUACCCGCAGAAUAAGCCCCGGCUAACUUCGUGCCAGCCGCUGC
rnacentral:rRNA from 1 species